GUGACUUCUUUUUCAUUUCUGAUUUUGUUUAUUUGGGUUUUUUCUCUCCUCUUCUUGGUGAGUCCAGCCAGAGGUUUGUCAAUUUUGUUUACCUUUUCAAAGAACCAGCUCUUGGUUUUAUUGAUUUCUUCUAUUGUUUUUUCAGUCUCUAUUUUAUUGAUUUCCUCUUUGAUCUUUAUGAUUUCCUUCUUUCUGCUGACUUUAGGUUUUUUUUGUUCUUCUUUUUCUAAUUCAUUUAGGCGGUGGGUUAAGUUAUUGAUUUGAGAUUUUUCUUCUUUUUUGAGGAAGGCCUGUAUUGCUAUGAAUUUCCCUCUGAGCACUGCUUUUGUGGCAUCCCAUAGAUUUUGAGUGGUUGUGUCUUCAUUAUCAUUUGUCUCGAGGUAUUUUUAAAUUUCCUCCUUGAUUUCCCCUUUCACCCAUUGUUUUUUUUAGUAGCAUGUUGUUUAGUCUCCAUGUAGUAAGUUUUUUCUCAUUUUUUUUCCUUUGGUUGAUUUCUAGUUUUAUACCAUUGUGGUCAGAGAAUAUUCUUGAAAUAAUUUCUGUAUUCUUAAAUUUGUUGAGGUUAGCUUUGUGCCCCAGUAUGUGAUCAAUUCUUGAGAAUGUUCCAUGUGCACUUGAAAAGAAUGUAUAUUCUGAUUUUUUGGAUGUAAUGUCCUGAAAAUGUCAAGUCUAACUUUUCUAUUGUGUCCUUUAUGAUCUCUGUUGCCUUAUUGAUUUUCUGUCUAGAGGAUCUGUCCAUUGAUGUGAGUGGGGUGUCAAAGUCUCCUACUAUGAUUCUAUUCCCAUUGAUUGCUCCUUUUAUGUCUGUUAGUAUUUGUUGUAGGUAUCUGGGUGCUCCUAUAUUAGGGGCGUAUGUAUUCACGAUUAUAAUAUCCUCUUCUUCAAUGGAUCCUUUUAUCAUUAAAUAGUGUCCUUCUUUGUCUUUCUUUAUGGGCUUUCUUUUAAAGUCUAUUUUGUUUGAUAUGAGUAUUGCAGCUCCUGCUUUCUUGUCUUGUCCAUUGGCAUGAAAUAUCUUUUCUUAUACCCUCACUUUCAAUCUAUAUGUGUCCUCUGCUCUAAGGUAAGUUUCUUGUAGGCAGCAGAUUGAAGUUUUUUGCUUUUUUUAUCCAAGCUUCUACUCUGUGACUUUUGAUUGGAGAAUUUAGUCCAUUGACAUUUAAGGUAAUUAUUGAUAGAUAUGUAUUUAUUGCCAUUUUAAACCUUGUUUUCCAGUUGAUUCUAUGUUUCUCUUUUCUUCUUUUCUUUUUUGGGUUGGAUGGUUUCCAUUUAUUUUAGGCUUGAGUACUUUUCUUUUCACUUUUUGUGACUGUAACGUUUGGUUUUGAUUUGUGGUUGCCUAUUUUUUAAGCACAUUAAGCCCUUCCCAUAUCUGCUUUCUUUUGCCUGAUAGUCAUAUAGGUUCAGACAUUGUAUGAUUUUGAUGCUUUUUUUUUUUUUAACAUCUUCAUGUUUAGAUCUGUAUGCUGGCUUAUUUAAGUGAUUACUUUCUAGUUGUGGUUUCCUCCAUCCUAAUUCUUUUUUUUUCUCUUUUUCUCUCUCUCUCUCUCUUUUUUUUUCUUUUUUUAAUUUAGAGAAGCCCUUUCAGUAUUUCUUUUAGAAUGGGUUUAGUAUUGCUGUACUCUUUUAGCUUUUGUUUGUUGGAGAAAUUCUUUAUUUCCUCUUCUAUUUUAAAUGAUAUUCUUGCUGAUAGAGUAUUCUGGGUUGCAGAUUUUUUUCCUUUCAGCACUUUAAAUAUAUCUUGCCACUCCCUUCUGGCCUGUAGUGUUUCUGUAGAGAAAUCAGCUGAUAGCCUUAUGCGGGGGGUUCCCUUAUAAUUAAUGCUUUGCUUUUUUCUUGCUGCCUUUAGAAUCCUCUCUUUAUCUUUAACUUUUUCCAUUUUAUUGUAAUAUUUUUUGGUGUGGGCCUGUUUGGGUUCAGCUUGUUUGGGGCCCUCUGUGCCUCCUGUAUCUUGAUAUCAGUAGAUUUAGAUUUGGAAAAUUUUCAGCCAUAAUUUCUUCAAAUAUAUUUUCAAUUCCAUUUUCUUCUUCUUUUCCUUCUGGAAUUCCUAUUAUGCAUUGAUUGGCCUGCUUUAUAUUAUCUCAUAGUUCUCUUAUAUUGCUUUCAUGUUUUUUCAUUUGGUUUUCUGUCUGCUGUCCUGAUUGGGUUAUUUCCAUUAUUUUAUCUUCUCCAUCACUAAUUUGUUCUUCUGCAUUAUUCAUUCUGCUCUUUAUUGUGUUAAGCUCAGUUUGUAUCUCUGCAAAUGAAUUUUCUAGUUUUUCUUGGCUCCUCCUAUAUUUUCUAGUUCCUUUCUAAAUGAAUCUGCAUUACUGUUGAUAUCCUCUCUUAAUUCCUUCAGUAUUUUCAAUUCCUCCCUUUUGAACUCAAUGUCUGUCAGACUACAGAGGUUUGUUUCAUUGUUGUCUGCUUUAGGUGAAUUCUCCUGUUCCUUUAACUGGAAAUGGUUUCUGUGCUUCUUCAUCUUGCUUGUGUUUUUCUUUUUCUGUGAGUUCAGGAAAGCCAAACUGUGGUCUUGUAAAGCUACUUCUAUGCAAUAAUACCCCUUUGCAUUUUUUGGGUGGAUUACUAUUUAUUUUUGGUGUGAGAGUUUGAAUAUUUGCUGUCUAUUUCUUCAGUGUGAGCAGGCUGUUUUUCCCAGGAUGCUCAGUGUGUUUUCAGGGAGUAGGAGGCAAUGGGUGGGGCCAGCAGUCUUUGCCUGGUAUUGGGCUCUCAACAGCAGCAAGGACCUGUAGGAAGGUAGCACAGGCUACUCCUAGUUGCAGGGCCCUGGUAAGUGGUAAUAAGCUCUAGGCAGAUCUUCAAGGUGACCAGAGCAUUUGGCAGUAGCAAGAGCAGGGUGCGUGAGUUCCCAGGGGACUGAGAGCAACAACAGCUUGUGUUUGAUUGCAGUGCCCGCCUCUGAGGUGAUUGGAACCGCAGGUGGUGCCUGUGCAGGGACCCCUAUUGGGAGCAGGCCAUGACCAUCUCUAGAGUCAGAGAUAACUGUGUUGGUUUGCCCCUACCACCUGUAGACCAUGCAUGAAGCAACCCGUCUCACUUAGCCCAUAUAUGAGGUGUUGUAAAGGGUGCUCCUAGUUGCAGGAUCCUGGGAAGUGACAGAGAUCAGGCAUGUGGGUACUUCCUGGAACGUUUGGCAGUGGCAACAGCAGGGCAGGUGUGUUCCUGGGGGUGUGAGAGCACCAACAGUUGGUGUUCGGUCACAAUGCUGUGGUUCCCUUUAGGUGAAUGGGGCUGGAAGUGAUUUUUAUUCAGCUAUCUCCAAUGGCAGUGGGCCACACCCACCUCUGGAAUCAGGGAUACCUGUGGCAGUUUGUCCUGCCCCCUCCAGACCACGCAAGAAGCACCCUGUCCCACUUAGCCCACGCAGGAAGUUCUGCACCAGUUGCUCCUAGUUGUAGGGUCUUGGGAAUGGACAGUGACCGAGUGUCUGGAGGUCACCCAGAGCGUUUGGCUGUGGCAGCUGCAGGAUGGGUGUGUUCCCUCCGGAGUGAGAGCAACAGUGUAUGGUGCUUUGUUGCAAUGCCCUCCUUUUUUUCUUUUUUAGCAACCCCUGAGGUAUCAAUGGAGGAGCCCGAUGGUGGAGCCCACUCACAGGCCCCCAGUGGUGGCAAGCCACACCUCCCUCUGGUCUCUGAGAUGACCGCCGCAGUCUGUCCCUGCCACCUGUAGAUCGUGCAAGAGACACCACAUCACACUUAGCCCCCUUAUGCCCUUGGCCCACACGAUAGGUGCCUGGCCACCAGUAGCCUGCACAAGAAGCACCUAAUCUCCCUUCUCGCUGCCUGUAGCCUCCGCAGAGCUGCACCACCCUCUAAGCCUGCAGGCGUGCAUGUGCUCCAGCACAGGGAGUUUCCUAUGGUGGCUGCCCCUCCUCCUCUCCCCUCCCCAGCAAUGGCUCCUUGCCUCUCCUACCAGUCCGGACCUUCUCCCGGGUUUGGGUACCCUCUGCUGUGGUGUUCCCCUCCUUAGCCCGUGGUGAACUGCUCCUUAGACUCUCAUGCCAUCCCCAAUUCUCUCCCUGGGAUUGACCUCUGGAACCUGAGUCUUAGCGCCCAGCCCCCGCCCAAGCAUCUCUGGCUGUGGUGUCCAGGCCAAUGGUUCAGAUGAUCUGUGCAGUUCUCACUUUGCUUUGCUGUUCUCAGUCCAGCUGCUUCAUUUUUUCAUCGACUUCCAGGUCCCGCCAACUCAGCCAAUCUUUCAUCAAUUAGGUGGCUUCCCAGGAGGUGGGUUCCUUUUCUCCUUCAUAGCUGCCUCUCGGGAAUGCUAGUCCUGUCCUGAUUCCUUUUCUCUCUCUCUUUUUUUCUUUUGUUCUAACCAGUUAUGUCAAGAGUUUCUUGCCCUUUAUGGAGGUUUAAGUUCUUCUGCCAGCAUUCAGUCAAUGUUCUGCAUGAGUAGUAUUACAUGUAGAUGUGUUUUUUAGAUGUGUUUGUGGGAGAAGGAGUGUGUGACCUUUUACUCCUCUGCCAUCUUGUUCCACCUCCCUCAUCCUUAUUUUCAACUUUUCAUAUAGCGGCCUAGCUAUUAGAUCAUAGUUAGGGAUCCAGAUGCAGCAAAACUGGCCAUCCCCAGGGAAUACAUAAGCUGUAUUCUACUUUAGGAGGGAUAAGGCUGCAAUAUCUUCUUUCCUUUCCUGGUAUAGAUUUCUCUGAGCUUCUGUGAGAAUGAAGCCUAGGUGAGUCACCCUAGUGUGUGGUAUUUGAUCUUGUUCUUGGGCACCUUAAAUCCUUUAUCAGCCCAGUGGUUCAGAGCAGACUGUUCAGCAAUAUUGUUUUUGUUGCACGUUUGGCCACUCAAAAACAAACAAAAAUUCUUUUCUCUCUGGAGUUAAUGCAAUAUAGAAGAAAACAUCUGUUAAAUCUAAUAUAGAAUGACAGGUCCUGGUGGACAGUAGAGUGACAAGCAGGAUGUAGUGCAGGAUUAGGGACUACUUAACAUAUAUUUCAAGUGGUGACAAUGGUGGCUUAUUGAUUGUCCUGAGGUCUUGUACCACCCAGUAUUCCCCAUUGAGUUUUUAUGGGGAGAAUGGGAGUAUUACAGGAUGAUUGGUAUGGUCCAAUAAGGCCCUGGUCAAUUAGGCCCUGUAGAACAGGGCAAUGCCCAACAUGGCCUGUCAAUGGAUAGUGUACUGUUUUCUACUGGGCCAUGUAUCUCCAGGUUUUAGAUGGACUAUCACAGGACAGGUUCCUAAAGUUCAUCCCACCUGUCUCUGGGCCCAGACCUCAUGAUUUAUAUGUAGGAGAUAAAAUGAAAUACAACCUCAGGAUUCCAUUCCUUUCCAGUGACUCAUGGCCAGUGGUAGUAUAGAUCUAGAGGUAUUCCCUGAGGCUCUCUAGGAAUGCCGAAGAAUUUUCUCUUGGCUUCUGAUUUCCUCUUUCUUAUUACAGUUGACAGAUUUUUCUUCCUGCUGCCUAGAUUCUGUUUAGGAUCAUAUUUUUGUAAUUGGUCAGUCUUUGUCUUAUACCGCCUUCUUUAUUGUUUCAGUGGUCCCACUUGGGUUCAUUGUCUGCAACUGCUUAAUUUCCUGGUCUGAAAACAGCAUGACCUGCAUUGUUUCUACUCCCUUUUUCUACUUCCUCUUGGGCUUUUGAAAGAUCAUAGCCUUUUCUUCCCUCACUGGGAGUACAUUGAGGAGGCUCUGGAUCUCAGUCCAGGUAGGGUCCUAGGUCUGAAAGAUUGCUUUAAUCAGAUUGAGGAACCCUUUGGAUCUUCCCUCAGCCCCUUACUAUGACUCUUCUAGUUAUACAGAUCAGAAAUGGUCAGUAGGACCUGUACCUCGAUGAGCCCUCCUUCUCCAUCUGGGACCUGCUGGAAUGGAGUAUUCCCAUUAUAUAUAUAAGGGGGUAUUUUCUGGUAGGUUGUUGGACCCUGGCUGGUAAUUAGUCCUGCUUCAUGUACUUACUUGACUGGGUUCUAGGAGAGAGGGGUUAGUCUGGACAGGACCCCUUGGGCUGUGGCCAAAAUCAGUAGGUAUUGUGGAAGGGGCUAUGAAGGGAGCAGUAGUAGGAGGGUUAGGGAGGAGAUCCCGAAAGCCCUUAGGUGUGAGUCAAAGACUGGUAGAAGGCUUAGUCUCCUGUGCUCUUAUCAGUGAAGGCAAGCCCACAUCUCUUUCAAAAGCUUGCAUUCUGAUUUAAGACUGUAAAAAAAAAAAAAACUAGAUAUAGAUGAAAACUAUUGCAUUUGGAAUGGAUAUGCAAUGAGCUCCUGCUAUAUGGCACUGGGAACUAUGUCUAGUCACUUGUGAUGGAGCAUGAUGGAGAAUAAUGUGUAGAAAAGAAUGAAUAUAUGUAUGUGUGUCUGGAUCCCUUUGCUGUACAGUAGAAAAUUGACAGACACUAUAAACUAACUGUAAUGGAAAAAAUAAAAA
rnacentral:lncRNA from 1 species